CAGAGCUGGGGCUUCUAAUGCCAAAGAGGGCCUAGAUGUGACGCUGGAGCUUUGGAGUUGGCAGGUUUUUAUGACCCCUAUUCCCCUUAGCCCCCUUCUUUCCAGGCUCAGCACAAGGAGCAGCCAUAUGAUGUUUACACACAUAGAACAACCGGAUUACGCAUCAAGGAGAUAGUUUUUCUGCUGAUGCCUGUGAAGAGCUGAAUGGGGACCACUAUGUACUACUCAGUACAGCAUCUGUGAAGAAUGGGAGCUGACCUCAUGCAUAGAGCCACCACGAAGUGAGCAGCUUCCUCUGCCAUGUACUCCCACCAUGAUGCACUGUGCCACCAAAAGCCAAAGGCAACAGGAUCCACUUACCUUGGACUGAAGGUGCCAAAACUGUGAGCCAAAGCCUCACUCAGAUGCCAAUUAGAAAGUGCUCCUGAUUUUCUGCCUUGCUGGUAAGGAGAAGCCCUUACCACUCCAGCAGGACCUGGGUACCAAAACUCUAGCAUAGGAGCCUAAGCCUUCUUGCAAGAGGAGAAGUGACAACAAAUUUAAGUAGAGAAGAUGAAUAUCUGCAUGAGCCAAGUGACUGUGAAGAGGGCAAAGAAUUAAUAAUUGUGUAAUAAUGUUACUGAAUACUUACUGUGAGCUGCUUUCUAGAUGACUCCAUGAAUUUGUUUAAAUCUCCAACAAUCCUGCAAAGUAGGUACUGUUAGUAUCAUUCCUUUCUGAUAUAUGAGGAAAUUAAAGCACAGAGAAAAUGAGUAACUGCACCAAUGUCAACAGCUAGGAAGUGACAAGACAAGCUUCAAGUUCGUGCAGUUUGACUCAAAGGACCAUGUUCCUAACCGCUACAUUCUCCUGCCUCUUUCAAGAAAUGCUAGGUCUGCUUAGAGAAUUUGAUUAUUCACUGGAUGUGUAUGGGAAGAGGCAGAGUGAUCAAAUUCCAGGUUGCUGGCAUCAACAAUUGAGGGGACCAAAGAUCCACCAACCAAAGUAGAGCAUUUGGGAGGAAGAACUCUGCAAGGUGUGAGUCUGGG
rnacentral:lncRNA from 1 species